AGCGAACGCUGGCGGCAGGCCUAACACAUGCAAGUCGAGCGCCCGUAGCAAUACGGGAGCGGCAGACGGGUGAGUAACACGUGGGAACGUACCCUUCGGUUCGGAAUAACCCAGGGAAACUUGGAUUAAUACCGGAUACGUCCGUAAGGAGAAAGAUUUAUCGCCGAAGGAUCGGCCCGCGUCCGAUUAGCUUGUUGGUGGGGUAAUGGCCCACCAAGGCUACGAUCGGUAGCUGGUCUGAGAGGAUGAUCAGCCACACUGGGACUGAGACACGGCCCAGACUCCUACGGGAGGCAGCAGUGGGGAAUAUUGGACAAUGGGCGCAAGCCUGAUCCAGCCAUGCCGCGUGGGUGAUGAAGGCCCUAGGGUUGUAAAGCCCUUUCGGCGGGGAAGAUAAUGACGGUACCCGCAGAAGAAGCCCCGGCUAACUUCGUGCCAGCCGCCGCGGUAAAAC
rnacentral:rRNA from 1 species